GUUAAAACAUUGUUAGAGUACCUUCUUAAUUAAAGGUGACACCCCUGCACUGAGAGAGAUGCUUACAGGCAGUGUGAGGAACGCCCCCAGUUUAAACCUCAGGUGCUAUGGGUCUAAGCGAGCAGCAGUUCCAUUCCCUGUUGGUGGCAUUUGACAAAGUCCUUUCUGUUGCUGCCUUGUCACAGGGGGUGUUCAGUUUGGAUUCUUCACCUUUUUAAUUCCCCUGCCACCAUGUUUGAGGGCCAGUUUGGAGCCAGUGCCCGAUUGAGAAACGGUUCUUCGUGUUUCGACUGCCAGUGAACCAGCUCCCAGCCCGGAAAACUGGUUCCAGAGCGGCUCCAACUCUUUGCUGGACCAGAACCGUGAACCGCUUACAUCAGGGGUGAGGGGAUGGGUUAUCGUGGCCAAAAACAAACCAAACAAUGCAGUGCUAGGCGACAGACUGUCAUGCCUGCGUCUCCACUUUGUCGGGCAGUUUUACGGUUUCUAAAAUCAACUGGGCUGUAUGCCAGAAUAUAUGUAGAUAUUAAAACCUAGCCUGUGGAUGGCAGCAUUACACUCCCCAGUGUACAGCCUGCCGGAACCUCAUUCGAAGAAGAAGACUGCCAAUGCCGACUCACCGGGGCCUAUAACUCCAUAGUGAUCCUGGAGUCGAUGGUCGAUGAGUCGCUCAACAUCCAGAGCUCUACCGAUAAUGAGUUGUCUGUAAUCAAGGAUGCUGAUGUGGACAUGACACUGCAGCCACCUUUGAGCUGCAGCUCACCCUCACCAUCGGGCGGAUGAGCAAGAGGAGAGACAGAUGCAGCGGAGGGAGAGAAUGAUGUA